rnacentral:rRNA from 1 species
AUUGAACGCUGGCGGAAUGCUUUACACAUGCAAGUCGAACGGUAGAGGGGGCAACCCCUUGAGAGUGGCGAACGGGUGAGUAAUAUAUCGGAACGUGCCCAGUCGUGGGGAUAACGUAGCGAAAGUUACGCUAAUACCGCAUACGAUCUAAGGAUGAAAGCGGGGGAUCGCAAGACCUCGCGCGAUUGGAGCGGCCGAUAUCAGAUUAGGUAGUUGGUGAGGUAAAGGCUCACCAAGCCGACGAUCUGUAGCUGGUCUGAGAGGACGACCAGCCACACUGGGACUGAGACACGGCCCAGACUCCUACGGGAGGCAGCAGUGGGGAAUUUUGGACAAUGGGCGCAAGCCUGAUCCAGCAAUGCCGCGUGCAGGAUGAAGGCCUUCGGUUGUAACUAGCUUUGUACGGUAACGAAACGGUGAGCUCUAAUACAGUUUGCUAAUGACGGUACCGUAAGAAUAAGACACCGG